rnacentral:rRNA from 1 species
UACGGAGGGUGCGAGCGUUGUCCGGAAUCAUUGGGCGUAAAGGGCGCGUAGGUGGCCUGGUCAGCGUGCGGUGAAAGCCCUGGGCUCAACCUGGGAAUGGCAGUGGAUACUGGAAGGCUGGAGUACGGUAGAGGAGGGUGGAAUUCCCGGUGUAGCGGUGAAAUGCGUAGAGAUCGGGAGGAACAUCAGUGGCGAAGGCGGCCCUCUGGACCAGUACUGACGCUGAGGCACGAAAGCGUGGGGAGCAAACAGG